GUCUUUGUGGUGCAAUGGGUCAGUGCUUCUGGCUGUUAACCAGAAGGUUGCUGGAUCAAGCCCAACCAGGGAUG